UGAGCAAUCUGCCCUUCUCAUCGGAAUAAGCGUUGGAAACGACGUCUAAUGCCGAAUACGACCUCCUUUCGCAUGAUCGGAGGUGGAAAGCUCCGGCGGUGAAGGAUGAGCUCGCGGCCUAUCAGCUAGUUGGUGUGGGUAAUGGCCCACCAAGGCGACGGACGGGUAGCCGGCCUGAGAGGGUGACCGGCCACACGUGGGACUGAGACACGGCCCAGACCUCCGUACGGGAGCAG
rnacentral:rRNA from 1 species